rnacentral:rRNA from 1 species
UAGGGAAUCUUCCACAAUGGGCGAAAGCCUGAUGGAGCAACGCCGCGUGAGCGAAGAAGGUCUUCGGAUCGUAAAGCUCUGUUGUAAGGGAAGAAUAAGUGCAGUAGUAACUGGCUGCACCUUGACGGUACCUUACUAGAAAGCCACGGCUAACUACGUGCCAGCAGCCGCGGUAAUACGUAGGUGGCAAGCGUUGUCCGGAAUUAUUGGGCGUAAAGCGCGCGCAGGCGGUCUCUUAAGUCUGAUGUGAAAGCCCCCGGCUUAACCGGGGAGGGUCAUUGGAAACUGGGAGACUUGAGUGCAGGAGAGGGAAGCGGAAUUCCAUGUGUAGCGGUGAAAUGCGUAGAGAUAUGGAGGAACACCAGUGGCGAAGGCGGCUUCCUGGCCUGUAACUGACGCUGAGGCGCGAAAGCGUGGGGAGCAAACA